UGGGGAAUUUUGGACAAUGGGCGAAAGCCUGAUCCAGCAAUGCCGCGUGUGUGAAGAAGGCCUUCGGGUUGUAAAGCACUUUUGUCCGGAAAGAAAUGGCUCUGGUUAAUACCUGGGGUCGAUGACGGUACCGGAAGAAUAAGGACCGGCUAACUACGUGCCAGCAGCCGCGGUAAUACGUAGGGUCCAAGCGUUAAUCGGAAUUACUGGGCGUAAAGCGUGCGCAGGCGGUUGUGCAAGACCGAUGUGAAAUCCCCGAGCUUAACUUGGGAAUUGCAUUGGUGACUGCACGGCUAGAGUGUGUCAGAGGGGGGUAGAAUUCCACGUGUAGCAGUGAAAUGCGUAGAGAUGUGGAGGAAUACCGAUGGCGAAGGCAGCCCCCUGGGAUAACACUGACGCUCAUGCACGAAAGCGUGGGGAGCAAACAGGAUUAGAUACCCUGGUAGUCCACGCCCUAAACGAUGUCAACUAGUUGUUGGGGAUUCAUUUCCUUAGUAACGUAGCUAACGCGUGAAGUUGACCGCCUGGGGAGUACGGUCGCAAG
rnacentral:rRNA from 1 species